AUAAACUAUUGGCAACAAAUAUGUAAUGUAUGUAGAUUGUUUGGUGAAAAAAUUCAUUUGAUGUGUGAAUUUGUUUACAAUUGAACCACAUUAUGUGUAUAUGUCUGAGACCGGCUGACAUCAGAAGUGGUGAAACACUAUUGUCAAAUUAAUUGCCUAUUUGUAUUAUAGAUAUCAUAAUUAUUACUAAGAAUGUAACCGAUAACUCUUGAAUGGCAGAGUAUAACCUUGAGGAGUUCCGGGGGCUAGUGACUCCAGGUGCAGUUUUAAAGGGAUCCCUUGAUGACAUACAUUAAACAUUCACAGUUACUGCUCAAGUUAUUCCCCCAAAUAAUCCAUGAAGGGUUAUCUAACAUAAGGAGUGAACGGAGUGGAGAUUAAUAAUACUUAAUAAUUAAAUAUAAAGAGCCAAUGCCAACAUUCUUUAUUUAUGAUGAUAAAUAACACGAGCCAAAAAAGUGUUUAUUUGAAAACUAUUUGAUAACUAAUAUGAUAGGUCUGAAUAUUUUAAUUAGGCCUUUGAAACUAGAUCCAUUUUCUGUCUUGUUCUUAAUUAUUGUUUUAUUAUUUAACAGAUGGAGGAAAAGAAAGCAGCCCAGAAAAAUUACAAAAUUUAUAAUUUGCAACAAAAACCUAAAUUGAGGAAGAGAAAGCAAGUUUACCAGCCCAGAAAAAUUACAAAAUUUGAAAUUUCCAACAAUGUCAGUUAUGAUUAAAUCAUAAUUAUAUUUUUUAAAUAUUCUCCUUAUAAUUAUGAUGAUAAUUAACACGAGCCGAAAAAGUGUUUAUUUGAAAACCAUUUGAUAACUAAUGAUAGGUCUGAAUAUUUAAAUAUGACUUCAAAAAUGCCUAGUUGUUCUGCAAUGUUUUUAAUUUUAUGGUUUCAUUGUUUUGCAGAAAAAGAAAGAAGGGACUUUUAAGCAAUUUAUCCAGACAGGAUAAAUUACAAGAAAACAUAAUUUAGAUCAAGAAAAAGGAGGAAGGGACUUUUAAGCAAGUUAUCCAGACAGGAUAAAUUACAAGAAAACAUAAUUUAGAUCAAGAAAAAGGAAGAUUGGACUUUUAAGCAAGUUAUCCAGACAGGAUAAAUUACAAGAAAACAUAAUUUAGAACAAGGAAAAGGAAGGUGGAACUGUUAAGCAACUUAUCCAGACAGGAUAAAUUUCAAGAAUACAUAAUUUAGAUUAAGAAAAAGGAAGAAGGGACUUUUAAGCAAGUUAUCCAGACAGGAUAAAUUACAAAAAUACAUAAUUUAGAUUAAGAAGAAAGAAAAAGGGACUUAAGCAAGUUUUCUGGUCAGGAUGUAUUACAAGCAAACACAAUUUAGUUCAAAGUAAGAUAUUAUUGAGUAUGCUGCAAAGAAUCGUGUCACUUGAUCCCCAACUGAUGCUGGACCUUCCAAGAACCAACUUGUAGGCACAGAAAACAUAUGUAGUUGGGUGUUACUGUUGUGGUAUUGUAGUAAUUGUCAUGUAAUGUAUUUAUCUAGUACUAUUAUUAUUAUUUUGCUAGUAUAAAAGUUGUAACUAUUAUUUUAUUAAUAUAUUUGUUAAUAUU
rnacentral:lncRNA from 1 species